rnacentral:rRNA from 1 species
GAAACGACUGCUAAGACUGGAUAGGAAAAGUAAAGGCAUCUUUACUUUUUUAAAAGACCUUCUUUGAAGGUAUGCUUAAGGAGGGGCUUGCGACACAUUAGUUAGUUGGCAGGGUAAAGGCCUACCAAGACUAUGAUGUGUAGCUGGACUGAGAGGUUGAACAGCCACAUUGGGACUGAGACACGGCCCAAACUCCUACGGGAGGCAGCAGUAGGGAAUUUUCGGCAAUGGAGGAAACUCUGACCGAGCAACGCCGCGUGAACGAUGAAGUACCUCGGUAUGUAAAGUUCUUUUAUUAAGGAAGAAAAAAGAGUGGAAAAACUCCCUUGACGGUACUUAAUGAAUAAGCCCCGGCUAAUUACGUGCCAGCAGCCGCGGUAAUACAUAAGGGGCGAGCGUUAUCCGGAAUUAUUGGGCGUAAAGGGUGCGUAGGCGGUUUAAUAAGUCUAUAGUUUAAUUUCAGUGCUUAACGCUGUUGUGCUAUAGAAACUGUUUUACUAGAGUGAGUUAGAGGCAAGCGGAAUUCCAUGUGUAGCGGUAAAAUGCGUAAAUAUAUGGAGGAACACCAGAGGCGUAGGCGGCUUGCUGGGACUUUACUGACGCUGAGGCACGAAAGCGUGGGGAGCAAACAGGAUUAGAUACCCUGGUAGUCCACGCCGUAAACGAUGAGUACUAAGUGUCGGGUAAAACCGGUACUGAAGUUAACACAUUAAGUACUCCGCCUGAGUAGUACGUACGCAAGUAUGAAACUUAAAGGAAUUGACGGGACUCCGCACAAGCGGUGGAUCAUGUUGUUUAAUUCGAAGAUACACGAAAAACCUUACCAGGUCUUGACAUUUUCUUGCGAAGUUAUAGAAAUAUAAUGGAGGUUAUCAGGAAAACAGGUGGUGCAUGGUUGUCGUCAGCUCGUGUCGUGAGAUGUUAGGUUAAGUCCUAAAACGAGCGCAACCCUUGUCGUUAAUUGCCAGCAUGUAAUGAUGGGGACUUUAACGAGACUGCCAAUGAAAAAUUGGAGGAAGGUGGGGAUUACGUCAAAUCAUCAUGCCCCUUAUGAUCUGGGCUACAAACGUGAUACAAUGGUUGAUACAAAGAGUAGCUGAAACGUGAGUUCUUAGCAAAUCUCACAAAAUCAAUCUCAGUUCGGAUUGAAGUCUGCAACUCGACUUCAUGAAGUUGGAAUCGCUAGUAAUCGCGAAUCAGCAUGUCGCGGUGAAUACGUUCUCGGGGUUUGUACACACCGCCCGUCA